rnacentral:rRNA from 1 species
GACGUAUAGGGCCAGCGUUAUUGGGCUUUACUGGGCGUAAAGGGUACGUCGAUAGUUUUAGCUUAUUAAUGUAAAAUGUUUGGGUUUAGCUUUUUCAUAUGGCAUAGUAAUAAAAUAAAACUUUGAGUUUAAUAGAAGUAUUUAGAAUUUUUAAUGGAGGGGCAAAAUCCUACGAAAUUAAAAGGAAUCCCAAAGGUGAAAGCAUUUUACUAGGUUAAACUGACAUUUAGGUACGAAAGCGUAGGUAGCAAACAGG